CCUACUGGCGGCAGCAGUGAGGAAUAUUGGUCAAUGGGCGCGAGCCUGAACCAGCCAAGUCGCGUGAGGGAAGACGGUCCUAUGGAUUGUAAACCUCUUUUGUCGGGGAGCCAAAGACGCCACGCGUGGCGUUCCGAGAGUACCCGAAGAAAAAGCAUCGGCUAACUCCGUGCCCGCAGCCGCGGUAAUACGGAGGAUGCUAGCGUUAUCCGGAUUUAUUUGGUUUAAAGGGUGCGCAGGCGGAAGAUCAAGUCAGCGGUAAAAUUGAGAGGCUCAACCUCUUCGAGCCGUUGAAAGUGGUUUUCUUGAGUGAGCAAGAAGGAUGCGGAAUGCGUGGUGUAGCGGUGAAAUGCAUAGAUAUAACGCAGAACUCCGAUUGCGAAGGCAGCAUACCGGCGCUCAACUGACGCUCAUGCACGAAAGUGUGGGUAUCGAACAGGAUUAGAUACCCCAGUAGUC
rnacentral:rRNA from 1 species